UUGGAUCUGUUCUACUUUCACUCAUGAUCAUUAUUCUCAUGUUGUUACCAUUUUAUAUUCAUUUCCACCUGCCAUAUCCAUUCCUGUAAUGCACAUAUGAAACAAUAUACACAGUGUAUUCAUGACAACAUGUGAAACUUCAUCAUCAUCUUGCUACCAAACUUAAUACAUAUCUCCUUCUUCAAUAACCUACACCAUAACUUGCAUACACAUAAUAAACAUCUCUCAUCAUUUUAAAAUCAACUCACCUAUCUUCAUAUACACAUAUACCAUACUCACUCUCAUUUCAAAAAUGAAAAAAUAAGAUAAAAAAGCUACAUCUAAAAGAAAGGUAUUGAAACCAUACACUUAAACCUUCUCCUCCUCCAUAAAUCUCAAAACCAUAGCAGCCUCGCUAACUCCCUCCAAUGAACUCUUACCUUACCUCACAACACCACCACCUUCAUGGGACCACCACAACCACACGAAAUUCUCCAAUCAAUUUCGAUAUCAGUAGAGCAAGUAUUUAGUAUCCAAGAAUAACUCAACGAUUACGCAUUCGUGUCAGUUGGUGUAUUUUGUUUCUUUUCAAUUGUUGCCUCUUUGUGUUUGUGUUUGUUCUUUUUUCGCAUUUUCGAUUAACCUUUGUAUUGUGUUUUUCAGUGUGAUGUCUACCAUUUUCAGUUUCGUUGUGAUUUUGUUUGUAACUUUUUAAAUAUUUCAAAUAACAUGUUGUGUUGUUGUUUUGUUUCA
rnacentral:lncRNA from 1 species